rnacentral:lncRNA from 1 species
CGGGGCUAAGGUUUCGGGACUAAAUGUCCCACCUUUAGUCCCGGUUGGUAACAGCAACCGGGACUAAAAGGCGCGCCAGGUUGUGCCAUCUGGCCUCCACAUUUAGUCCCGGUUGUUGCUACCAACCGGGACUAAAGACUUUUUUCUUUUUUCUUUUUCUUUUCAUUUGGUUUUCCAUUUAGGGUUUACAAUUAUGUUAUUGUUAUUUUCGAAUACGUAUUGUUUGCUGGUAGCUAGUUUAUAAUUUAUAUAAUUUAAAGCAUUACAUAGAAAUAUACUAUAAAACACUAUAUAUAUAUAUAAAUAAUAUGUAUCUAUAGGUCCAUAAUAUAAUAUUUACACAUAUGCUUCACGGACAAAGUAUUUACAACAUAAUUUAUCUCCGCCACUCAAGCAUCGUACAAAUGAUCAUCGUUAUUUGGUUUCAUUGGCUCCUGAUGGUUGAAGUAGCACUCGCUACCGGGAUUCAGGACUUGGUCGUUAAGAAAUCCUGCGAUUGUCUCCUGAAUUUCUUUUAGGCGCACCGCAUCCAACAUCUGCUCCUUCAGCCACAUCUCCUUUAAUAGACAUUAAAGAAAAAAGUUAGAGGUAUGAAUAGGAUUUAUUAAAUAGCAACAAAUAAAUGAAAUAAACUUAUUAUAUAUACAUGUGACAUACUUUUAGGUGCUCAAGAUUAGUUCUUUUGGCAUACACCGUCAUAAACUCGCAUACAUAGUAGCCACACAAAUUGUUGCCCAGUGUCUGCCGUAGAACCCACUGAAGUAAGAUGGGCUUUGAAAGUGCUGCAUUCAACUCUGGACGGUGUUUUUGCACGAACCCAGCCCAAACCCUAGCAAUAAAACGAUCAUUAUUAAUUAUCCAUUACCAAGUUAAAAGAGCAGAAUUUAAUAUAUAGAUAUCGGAGUUACCCUAGAUAAUAUCUAUCAUUUCUUGGUAAUCGUCCUGUGGUUUUCUCAAUGAGUCAUAGAUUACCAAUUGACUUUGCCAGAGAUCAAUGACAAUUAGUAUCCAAUGAAAGCUGCAUUUGUGUGCAUAUGUAGGCAAAAUUAGUAUAUAUCUUCAUAUUGAUCUGAUUAAUUAGUUAAAUAGAAUGUACACACGAUAACAACACUUACUUAAAGUUGUAGGGAAAGAGUAUAUAUCUUUUAUCUUUUUGGUUGAUCAAGAACCUCCGUAGAUUUCUCUCCGUUUGAGUUCUCCAUAAGACAUACGGGGUCUUGUGGUCUUUGAAUACAACAUUUGGAUCCACAAAUCCAAUCUCCUUGUCAUUUCUAACUCUGAGGUCCCUCAUCAUGUUUCUGCAUAUGUAUAGCGGGUUUCUGUAAUU